rnacentral:tRNA from 1 species
GAAGAGGUGGCUGAGUGGUUUAAAGCGAUAGGCUGUAAACCUAUUUUAUUUAUUUAAUUUAUCGUAAGUUCAAAUCUUACCCUCUUUA